rnacentral:rRNA from 1 species
UACGUAGGGUGCAAGCGUUUAAUCGGAAUUACUGGGCGUAAAGCGUGCGCAGGCGGUUCGUUGUGUCCGUCGUGAAAGCCCCGGGCUUAACCUGGGAACUGCGAUGGAAACUAGCGAGCUGGAGUGUGGCAGGAGGGGGGUGGAAUUCCGCGUGUAGCAGUGAAAUGCGUAGAGAUGUGGAGGAACACCGAUGGCGAAGGCAGCCCCCUGGGUCAAGAUUGACGCUCAUGCACGAAAGCGUGGGGAGCAAACAGG